CGCGAUCUCGUCUCUCUUAUCUUGCUCUUAUCUCGCUCACAGACAUCCGGCUCCCAAGUUGUCCUCCUCUGUGGAACUUUACCAUGGCGGCAUUGCAGGUGGCACUCGGGUGCACUACAGAAGCGGGGAAUGGAAUCGGUCAAGCUUGGGAGAGAACAGAGAUGGGAUGACAAGCGAGUCUGGUUCACUCGGGGGAAGAAAACGACACACAAGCUCGGAAGUGGGCCCAUCAUGUCAG
rnacentral:lncRNA from 1 species